CGCAAAACCCGGGCCGGAUCUGGCGCGGACGGGGUCGGGCGGCCGCGGAGGUGGGAGCGGCGCGGGAUGGCGGGAAGAGCCGGAGAAGCGGCGUCGGCUCCAAGGUGUGCGGCGCUGGGAGGCUUUUCUCCCGGAUCGCGCACGUGGCCUGUGGCCGAGGCGCAGGGGCUGAAGAUUCCUAGACAGUGGAUGCCAAGACUAGUUUUUCGAACUGGCCCAGCACUCCAGAGCAUACUGCAGGCGCUGAAUAAAUGUUUUCCUGAACAAGUUCCUAGCAGAGUUCCUAGUAAAGCACUGUGAAGCAUAGAGGAAUGAACGACUGGUUUUGACUAAGAAAGGGGCCAAAGAAGGCUUCUUGAAAGAGCAGCAUUUAAGCUGAACUCUGAAGAUCAAACCCAGAUGACAGGAAAGGCCCUUCCAUUGGAGAACAGCGGCAGCAUCGAGGGAUGUGCAGUGGGCGGGGAUGUGGUGGAUCUGAGCAGGGGAACUUGGGGCUGUAGAAAAGGAAGAAAGGCAGCUGCCUCGAAUUCAGGAGAACCGUGAGCACAAACGCUUCAUUUAUGGGAUCCAGAAUAGGGACAUGAACAUGUAAAAUAAGAUAAGGAGUAUGGGUAUACAGAAAAAAAAGGAAGAGAAAGAAAGAGGAAAAGGAAGAAAAAGUCAAAAGAGAAGGAGAGCAGUUUAUAGGGGAACUUCAGGCAAACUACAUGAAAAGAAAAAGAAAUGACAAAGAAAACCCCUGACUUGAGACUGUAGGAACAAAAACAUUUUAAUAGCAUGUGAGGGUGGUCUUUAUGGAGGAGAGAGAGAAAAGAGGUAACAAUGAAACUAGUGUUUUGAUUAAAGAUCUUUGACCAUUAUAGUUUCUCAUUUGAGAAGGUGUGAACUGGAUGAGAAAAAUAGGAUAAGAUGUUAGACAUCACUAUUCAGAAAGAAAUGGAACUCAAAACAGCAAGAGACAGCGAUAGACUGGAAACAAGAUAAAUCUUUGCCAUUUAUCUUGCACAUCAUUAAGGAAUCUAACUAAAUUGUGACACAGUCAAUAGAAUAUAAUGCAGCCAUUAAAAAUGAAGUAUAAGUAUGGAAAAACAUGUUAUGUGAAGAAGCAAGUUAUAAGUCAGCACCUCUGGAAGGACCCAUCAAAAAUGUUAGUGGGGUUCCCUCUAGAUGUUUUGAUCAUUAGUGAUUUUUCACUUUCUCCAAACCUGUAAGUAGUGUCUGAAUCUUAACAAUGAGCAAUUAUUACCUUUUUCAUUAGAAAAUUAACACAUGAGUAACUACAGUUUUAACCUUUUUUAAA
rnacentral:lncRNA from 1 species